UGCGGGAUCGUCUAAUGGUAGGACCGCGGCCUUUGGAGCCGUUAAUCUUGGUUCGAAUCCAAGUCCCGCAGCCU
rnacentral:tRNA from 1 species